ACAUCUACGGUGAUAACUACUUGGAGAGACAGAAUUGGUUCCUGUUGAUGUGUUCUUCAUUUAUUUACCAUCUUGAAGUUGGCCAAAAACAAUCCAAAAAAUAUCCUGAGCUUGAGCUGAAAGACUAGAACUGUACAAGGUUGUCAUGCUUUGGUUUAUGCUUUGGUUUUCUUCACUUACCCACAGAACCAUUCCCUACUCAGCAACUCUUCACUCAACGCUUCAGAGCCUUCCGAUGACUGGCCCCGCCGAAGAGACUGCUUACAUCGAGAAGCUUUACGAAUACGGGGAGCAGCUCAACAAUGCCAGGGAUAGGUCUCAGAAUGUGCAGGAUUACCAGGGGAUCAUUGAUGCAGCGAAGACGAGCGCGAAGGCAAAACAUUUUUCGCAUUGGUAAUUGCUAUAACGAAAGAUCUUCCUGAUGUUGAAGGAGAUUGCAAGUUCUUUGGUACUAUGUUGUGAACCAUCCUAAAAUGUUUUAACUGUUGGGUGAAGGCAGGGGAAUGCUUUUAUAUUAUAUCUGUAACAAUCUGCUUUUCUUCCACCUCAAAAAAUAAAUAUAUUGAAUUGAUGAUGUUGAAUAUAUUAAAUGUGACCUGUAUUUACACAUUUUGAUCAAUUAAAACUACAACCUCCAUGUAUUUAUCUAUUUUGAUGAUAUUGCCUGAUGAAGUAUGGACAGAGGAUUAUCUUAUGAUUGCAGGGAAAGAAGGGGAUUUGGCUUAGAUUGCCUUUAGAGAAGUCUGACCUUGUUCCAAUAGCUAAUAAGGAAGGCUUUGGAUACCACCAUGCGGAACCAGGGUAUGUCAUGUUAACAUACUGGAUUUCUGAAGGACCUUCCAUGCUUCAAGUCAAUGGUUCACACAUCAUGUAGGAGUUGGGUGAUCUGUCAUCAAUUACAGAAAUGAGAUGGGUGGAAGCGAAGUCAAGAAGAGAGUUGGUAAUGGCAUUAUGUUAGAUUUAACCAAAGAAUUGUGGAAGCGCGUCACAGCUGAGAACUUUUGCAUUACAUUCACCAUCUGAUAAAGUCAAACGCAACAACACUUGCCAGAAAUCUUUGAGAUGUCUUUUAUUUAUGUUUGGCCUUGGUUUCUUUCUUCCCAAUUGCCAUUUUUUAUGCUUAAACCGUCGGUGUAGAUUCAGCUUAUAACACAUCCUUUUCAACA